GCGCAGGCUGGGCCGGCUGCCUGGGCUGCGCGGCUUCCCGGCAUUCAGAAGGCCCGGGUCAGGGGCAGCCCCUCAGCCCGAGGGCAGUGGCCAGGGGUCGGGCCAGUGGCCCGGCCACCCAGCUCCUUACCUGGGGGAGCAGUGUUUGGGGGAUCGCAGCAGUCCCUGCGGCUGCCUUCCCGGGUGGCGGCUCAGGGCAGGGCCCAACCAGGAAGAGCGCUCCUCUCCGCCCUCCUCCCGCGGCCCCUCCGCCCUCCUCUCCCCCUCCCUCCUCCUCCUCCUCGGGCUCCUACCCCGCUUCCUCUCCGCUCUCCCUUAUCUCGGCUGCACCUUCUCCGACUAUCUCCCUCCGGGUGUCUCCCCGCCCCUCCCUCCGCCGCGAACUCCGCGAAGGGACAAAUUAGUGAAAGGCAGAGCUGUGCCCCGGGAGGGGCCGCUGCGGCCCAGACGGAAGGGCACCGCGGGGGAGGGGGAGGGGGAGCGGGAGCGCGGGGGAGGGCCGGGCUGGGGGUAUUUUUAACCCGGGGCAGCUGCUCCAGUCGCAGGGCCGGGCCGCCCCACCCCACGCGGCACCCCCGUAGGGCAUUCCCGGCCGCCCGGCCCGCCUCGUCUCCCCCCGCCCCGCCCCCGCGCGCCCCCAGCGCGGGACCGAGAUUACCUCAGGCUGCGGCAGCCGCUCAGAGGAGGGGCCGGGGUGGCGGCGGGCGCACCCCUGCCGGCCGCUGGGCACACGGCAGCCCGGGCCCCGCCGCACCCGGGUUCCGCGCCGCCGCCCGCCCCCGCGGCUCGGGCUCGGGCUCUGGGCGCCUCCACCCCGCCUUAGCGGCUCCGCGCGUCCUCCCGCCGCCAGGCCCCGGCUCGCUGCGUGACCUUGGGCGAGUCCCUGUCCUCCCUCCGCGACCCCGCCCCCGCCUCGGUUUCCCGGGUGUGUGCGCCGAGAAUGGGACGGAGGCGAGCAGCUGCGGGAACCCAUGUUUCCCUUGCGCUCUGGGAUUUCUUGAACCCGGAACCUGCGAGCGGUGGGGCUCCCUGCCCGCGCCCCCCGAGCCCUCGGCCCACCCACCUGGGAGCGCCCUUGUGCCGCCUGACCCAGGAGAGGGCGGCAGAGGCUGCAGGCAGGUCGGCGGGCCCACUCUAGACGACAGAUCCUGCCUGCGGCCUCCCAAGCUGUGCUGGGAGAAGUCGCGGAGCCCAGAAGCCCAACGGUGGAGGACUGCGGCGUUCCCCCAGCUCAGGGCUUUUCACUGA
rnacentral:lncRNA from 1 species